UUCCGGUUGAUCCCGCCGGACCUGACUGCUAUCGGAUUGAUACUGAGCCAUGCGAGUCAUUGUAGCAAUACAAGGCAGACGGCUCAGUAACGCGUAGUCAACCUAACCUAUGGAUGGGACUAACCUCGGGAAACUGAGAAUAAUGUCCAAUAGAACAAUAUACCUGGAAUGGUUUGUGUUCCAAAUGAUUUAUCGCCGUAGGAUGGGACUGCGGCCUAUCAGUUUGUUGGUGAGGUAAUGGCCCACCAAGACUAUUACAGGUACGGGCUCUGAGAGGAGUAGCCCGGAGAUGGGUACUGAGACACGGACCCAGGCCCUAUGGGGCGCAGCAGGCGAGAAAACUUUGCAAUGUGCGAAAGCACGACAAGGUUAAUCCGAGUGAUUUGUGCUAAACGAAUCUUUUGUUAGUCCUAGAAACACUAACGAAUAAGGGGUGGGCAAGUCCUGGUGUCAGCCGCCGCGGUAAAACCAGCACCUCAAGUGGUCAGGAUGAUUAUUGGGCCUAAAGCAUCCGUAGCCGGCUCUAUAAGUUUUCGGUUAAAUCUGUAUGCUCAACAUACAGGCUGCCGGGAAUACUGCAGAGCUAGGGAGUGGGAGAGGUAGACGGUACUCGGUAGGAAGGGGUAAAAUCCUUUGAUCUAUUGAUGACCACCUGUGACGAAGACGGUCUACCAGAACACGUCCGACGGUGAGGGAUGAAAGCUGGGGGAGCAAACCGGAUUAGAUACCCGGGUAGUCCCAGCUGUAAACUAUGCAAACUCAGUGAUGCAUUGGCUUGUGGCCAAUGCAGUGCUGCAGGGAAGCCGUUAAGUUUGCCGCCUGGGAAGUACGUACGCAAGUAUGAAACUUAAAGGAAUUGGCGGGGGAGCACCACAAGGGGUGAAGCCUGCGGUUCAAUUGGAGUCAACGCCGGG
rnacentral:rRNA from 1 species